rnacentral:tRNA from 1 species
AGGUUUUAUAUGGGUUAAAAAAGUUUUGAAAACUUUUUAGAAGUGUUCGAUUCACUUAUGACUUU